GGUCAACCUACCCUGCGGACGGCCAUAACCCCGGGAAACUGGGGCUAAUGGCCGGCAAGAGAUGGGUGCUGGAACGCCCCGUCUCUGAAAGGCCCAACUACCCAUGCUGUGGUUGGGUGCCGCAGGAUGGGACCGCGUCCGAUCAGGUAGACGGUGGGGUAACGGCCCACCGUGCCGAUAACCGGUACGGGCCCUGGGAGGGGGAGCCCGGAGAUGGGCACUGAGACAAGGGCCCAGGCCCUACGGGGCGCAACAGGCGCGAAACCUCCGCUAUGCGCGAAAGCGCGACGGGGUCACUCCGAGUGCCGACCGCUGAGGUCGGCUUUUGCCCAGUCCAAAAGGCUGGGCGAAUAAGGGGAGGGCAAGUUUGGUGUCAGCCGCCGCGGUAAUACCAACUCCCCGAGUGGUCGGGACGAUUACUGGGCUUAAAGCGUCCGUAGCCGGCUUGGUAAGUCUCCGGUUAAAUCCGGCGUCUCAAGCGCCGGGCCGCCGGAGAUACUGCCAAGCUAGGGAGCGGGAGAGGCGGGCGGUAUUCCCUGGGUAGGGGUAAAAUCCUCAGAUCCAGGGAGGACCAUCAGUGGCGAAGGCGGCCCGCUAGAACGCGUCCGACGGUGAGGGACGAAAGC
rnacentral:rRNA from 1 species